CAGCAGCCGCGGGAAUACGAAGGGUGCAAGCGUUACUCGGAAUUACUGGGCGUAAAGCGUGCGUAGGUGGUGGUUUAAGUCCGUUGUGAAAGCCCUGGGCUCAACCUGGGAAUCGCAGUGGAUACUGGGUCACUAGAGUGUGGUAGAGGAUAGUGGAAUUUCCGGUGUAGCAGUGAAAUGCGUAGAGAUCGGAAGGAACAUCUGUGGCGAAGGCGACUAUCUGGGCCAACACUGACACUGAGGCACGAAAGCGUGGGGAGCAAACAGGAUUAGAUACCCCUGUAGUCCCUGUCUCUUAUAC
rnacentral:rRNA from 1 species